UACGAAGGGGGCUAGCGUUGCUCGGAAUCACUGGGCGUAAAGGGUGCGUAGGCGGGUCUUUAAGUCAGGGGUGAAAUCCUGGAGCUCAACUCCAGAACUGCCUUUGAUACUGAGGAUCUUGAGUUCGGGAGAGGUGAGUGGAACUGCGAGUGUAGAGGUGAAAUUCGUAGAUAUUCGCAAGAACACCAGUGGCGAAGGCGGCUCACUGGCCCGACAUUGACGCUGAUGAGCGAAAGCUAGGGGAGCAAACGGG
rnacentral:rRNA from 1 species